GGCGGACGGGUGAGUAACGCGUUAGGCAACCUGCCCCGGGGAGAGGGAUAACCCAGCGAAAGUUGGACUAAUACCUCAUAAUGCAGCGGAUCCGCAUGGAUAUGUUGUUAAAGGUUGCAUUUCGGUGCAAUCACCUUGGGAUGGGCCUGCGUUCCAUUAGUUAGUUGGUGAGGUAACGGCUCACCAAGGCGACGAUGGAUAGCCGGUUUGAGAGAGUGAUCAGCCACACUGGGACUGAGAUACGGCCCAGACUCCUACGGGAGGCAGCAGUGAGGAAUAUUGCGCAAUGGAGGAAACUCUGACGCAGCAACGCCGCGUGGGGGAUGAAGUUCUAUGGAGCGUAAACCCCUGUAAGCGGGGACGAACUUUAGAUAGUCGAACAGGCUAUUUAAUUGACGGUACCCGCAGAGUAAGCUCCGGCUAACUCCGUGCCAGCAGCCGCGGUAACACGGGGGGAGCAAGCGUUGUCCGGAAUUACUGGGCGU
rnacentral:rRNA from 1 species